ACAUUGGUGGUUCAGUGGUAGAAUUCUCGCUUUCCAUGUGGAGACCCAGGUUCAAUUCCCAGCCAUUGCA
rnacentral:tRNA from 1 species